rnacentral:lncRNA from 1 species
UGCAUGUAACUCCAUGAAGCAAACUUCAUUUUUGAGGCUGACAGACAUACAUACUAUUUUUGCCAAUUUGUAAUUGUUAUACAUUAAGUACAUGAAAUUUAUAGGCUAUCAACAAAGUUUUUGCAUCUAAUAUGAAAUUUAUAUUACUCCACAAGGAUGAUGAUCAAUUGAGUUUGACUAGCUUGCAUGGACCCCAAAUGAACACGUUUGAUCAUAUGCAUGUAAUUUUUAUUGUUCUGACAUAAAUCCUGCUGGUACAUAUAAAUCG